AGAAUCAACGCUGGCGGCGUGCUUAACACAUGCAAGUCGAACGGUGAAAGAGAGCUUGCUCUCUGGAUCAGUGGCGAACGGGUGAGUAACACGUGAGUAACCUGCCCUUGACUCUGGGAUAAGCGUUGGAAACGACGUCUAAUACCGGAUACGACCUCCGAAGGCAUCUUCUGGAGGUGGAAAGAAUUUCGGUCAAGGAUGGACUCGCGGCCUAUCAGCUAGUUGGUGAGGUAAUGGCCCACCAAGGCGACGACGGGUA
rnacentral:rRNA from 1 species